rnacentral:rRNA from 1 species
AUGAACGCUAGCGGCAGGCUUAACACAUGCAAGUCGAGGGGCAGCGCGGGAUAGCAAUAUCCUGGCGGCGACCGGCGGAAGGGUGCGUAACGCGUGAGCGACAUGCCCGUUGCCCGGGGACAACCGGUGGAAACGCCGACUAAUCCCCGAUGGGAUACGAUGCUGCAUGGCAUUGUAUUGAAAGUUACGGCGGCGACGGAUUGGCUCGCGUCCGAUUAGCUGGUUGGCGGGGUGACGGCCCACCAAGGCUACGAUCGGUAGGGGUUCUGAGAGGAAGGCCCCCCACAAUGGGACUGAGACACGGCCCAUACUCCUACGGGAGGCAGCAGUGAGGAAUAUUGGUCAAUGGGCGGAAGCCUGAACCAGCCAUGCCGCGUGCGGGAAGGAGGCCCUAUGGGCUGUGAACCGCUUUUGCCUGGGGGCAAUAAGGGCGUCGCGCACGUCCGAUGAGAGUACCAGGCGAAUAAGCAUCGGCUAACUCCGUGCCAGCAGCCGCGGUAAUACGGGGGAUGCGAGCGUUAUCCGGAUUCAUUGGGUUUAAAGGGUGCGUAGGCUGUGCGUCAAGUCGGGGGUGAAAUUCCGGUGCUCAACACCGGGGCUGCCCUUGAUACUGUCGCGCUGGAGUGCGGAUGCCGCCGGAGGAAUGAGUGGUGUAGCGGUGAAAUGCUUAGAUAUCACUCAGAACACCGAUUGCGAAGGCAUCUGGCGAAUCCGUAACUGACGCUGAGGCACGAAAGCGUGGGGAUAGAACAGGAUUAGAUACCCUGGUAUUCCACGCCGUAAACGAUGAUGGCUAACCGCCGGCGACACACUGUCGGUGGCCAAGCGAAAGCGAUAAGCCAUCCACCUGGGGAGUACGUCGGCAACGAUGAAACUCAAAGGAAUUGACGGGGGCCCGCACAAGCGGAGGAACAUGUGGUUUAAUUCGAUGAUACGCGAGGAACCUUACCCGGGCUUGAAUUGCAGAGGAAGGAUUUGGAGACAAUGACGCCCUUCGGGGUCUCUGUGAAGGUGCUGCAUGGUUGUCGUCAGCUCGUGCCGUGAGGUGUCGGCUCAAGUGCCAUAACGAGCGCAACCCCUGCCGCCAGUUGCCAUCAGGUGAUGCUGGGCACUCUGGCGGGACUGCCACCGCAAGGUGUGAGGAGGGGGGGGAUGACGUCAAAUCAGCACGGCCCUUACGUCCGGGGCGACACACGUGUUACAAUGGCGGCCACAGAGGGAAGCUACCCCGCGAGGGGAUGCGGAUCUCGAAAAGCCGUCCCAGUUCGGACUGGAGUCUGCAACCCGACUCCACGAAGUUGGAUUCGCUAGUAAUCGCGCAUCAGCCAUGGCGCGGUGAAUACGUUCCCGGGCCUUGUACACACCGCCCGUCAAGCCAUGGAAGCCGCGGGCGCCUGAAGUCCGUGACCGGAAGGAGCGGCCUAGGGCGAAAGUGGUAACUGGGGCU